GGUCCAACAGGUCCAGGGGGUCCACGGUCACCAGAAGAACCAGGACCUCCCUGUUUACCAGGCUCCCCCUACAGACGAAAACAUAAACCCGUUGUCAUGAACGUGAGCACUUACAGAAGGUCCAGGAAGACCAGGGAAACCUCUCUCUCCACGUUGUCCGGGCAGACCUACAAUACCACGGGAUCCAGACAGACCCUGAGGACCUAAAGGUCCAUCAGCUCCCUGCGCGGUGAGGAAAAGUUAAGGCUCUCCCUUCUCGCCUUGUGCACCAGGUGCGCCACGAAGUCCAGCAUCUCCAUGUCUCCCUGGAGGUCCAGCAUCACCACGAACUCCCUUUGGUCCGUCUUUGCCAGCAGGUCCGGCAGGACCAGCAGGACCGGGAUUUCCCUGGGAUGGGAAGACGCAGAAGAAGCAAAAGUGCUCCCUGAGCUCCACGGGCUCCUUUAGCUCCUGUCACGCCAGUUGGUCCCUGGAAAAGAUGACACAGAAUUCUUGUUUUUAAAAAGUGAUGACUUUUAUUUUGCCAACAGAAAUGAUCCCCAACCAGUGUGCUGUGGAAAAUGAUCCACUUUCAUGUCCAGGAGCUCCAGAUGGUCCCUGAGGUCCAGAAGAACCAGCCUCUCCCUUCUGUCCACCUUCACCAGUUUCUCCUUUGGCACCGGGCUGACCAUCUGCCCCCUGCAGGGGGUCCAGCGAAAACAGCAGGUCCAGGAGGUCCGAUUUCACCACGGUCACCCUGGAUCAAUGAAAGAUGAUACUCACAGGAGCACCGCG